rnacentral:rRNA from 1 species
GAUGAACGCUGGCGGCGUGCUUAACACAUGCAAGUCGAACGAUGAAGCCCAGCUUGCUGGGUGGAUUAGUGGCGAACGGGUGAGUAACACGUGAGUAACCUGCCCUUAACUCUGGGAUAAGCCUGGGAAACUGGGUCUAAUACCGGAUAGGAGCGUCCACCGCAUGGUGGGUGUUGGAAAGAUUUAUCGGUUUUGGAUGGACUCGCGGCCUAUCAGCUUGUUGGUGAGGUAAUGGCUCACCAAGGCGACGACGGGUAGCCGGCCUGAGAGGGUGACCGGCCACACUGGGACUGAGACACGGCCCAGACUCCUACGGGAGGCAGUAGUGGGGAAUAUUGCACAAUGGGCGCAAGCCUGAUGCAGCGACGCCGCGUGAGGGAUGACGGCCUUCGGGUUGUAAACCUCUUUCAGUAGGGAAGAAGCGAAAGUGACGGUACCUGCAGAAGAAGCACCGACUAACUACGUG